rnacentral:rRNA from 1 species
CUACGGGUUGCAGCAGUGGGGAAUAUUGCACAAUGGAGGAAACUCUGAUGCAGCAACGCCGCGUGGAGGAUGACGCAUUUCGGUGUGUAAACUCCUUUUAUAUGUCAAGAAAAUGACGGUAGCAUAUGAAUAAGCACCGGCUAACUCCGUGCCAGCAGCUGCGGUAAUACGGAGGGUGCAAGCGUUACUCGGAAUCACUGGGCGUAAAGGACGCGUAGGCGGGUUGGAAAGUCAGGUGUGAAAUCCUACAGCUUAACUGUAGAACUGCACUUGAAACUUCUAAUCUAGAGUAUGGGAGGGGGAGAUGGAAUUAGUGGUGUAGGGGUAAAAUCCGUAGAUAUCACUAGGAAUACCUAAAGCGAAGGCGAUCUCCUGGAACAUUACUGACGCUAAGGCGUGAAAGCGUGGGGAGCAAACAGGAUUAGAUACCCUGGUAGUC